CAAGCGCGAGAAGGGCGUUUGGUGGAUGCCUUGGCGGUAAGAGGCGAUGAAGGACGUGGCACUCUGCGAUAAGUCCGGGGGAGGCGAGAGCACCCUUUGAUCCCGGAAUGUCCGAAUGGGGAAACCCACCUGACAUUGACCGAUUGUUCGAUGCUUCGGCAUGGAUCAAUCGGCUGAUGAACCAGGUACUCAUUACCUGAAUACAUAGGGUUUUGAGAGCAAACCCGGGGAACUGAAACAUCUCAGUACCCGGAGGAAAGGAAAUCAACCGAGACUCCGUUAGUAGUGGCGAGCGAACGCGGACCAGGCCGUGCGGUCUAUAAAGGCGAACCAGUUGGAAAGCUGGGCGAUAUGGGUGACAGCCCCGUAGCCGUAGAAAGGACUGCCGUUAGAGUAGGGCGGGACACGUGAAAUCCUGUCUGAACAUGGGGGGACCACCCUCCAAGCCUAAGUACUCCUUACCGACCGAUAGCGAACCAGUACCGUGAGGGAAAGGUGAAAAGCACCCCGACGAGGGGAGUGAAACAGUACCUGAAACCGAACGCCUACAAACAGCCGGAGCGCAAGUGACGGCGUACCUUUUGUAUAAUGGGUCAGCGACUUAGUCUCACGAGCAAGCUUAAGCCGAUAGGCGUAGGCGCAGCGAAAGCGAGUCUGAACAGGGCGUUCAGUUCGUGGGAUUAGACCCGAAACCGAGUGAUCUAGGCAUGUCCAGGAUGAAGGUGCGGUAACACGCACUGAAGGUCCGAACCCACACCUGUUGAAAAAGGUCGGGAUGAGGUGUGCCUAGGGGUGAAAGGCCAAUCAAACUCGGAGAUAGCUGGUUCUCCGCGAAAUCUAUUUAGGUAGAGCGUCAGCCGAAUACCUCGGGGGGUAGAGCACUGGAUGGGUGAUGGGGGCCCACAGCCUUACUGAGCCUAACCAAACUCCGAAUACCCGAGAGUACUAGCUGGCAGACACACGGCGGGUGCUAACGUCCGUCGUGAAGAGGGAAACAACCCUGACCGACAGCUAAGGCCCCUAAUUCGUGGCUAAGUGGGAAAGCAUGUGGGACGACCAAAACAACCAGGAGGUUGGCUUAGAAGCAGCCAUCCUUUAAAGAUAGCGUAACAGCUCACUGGUCUAAAUAAGUUGUCCUGCGGCGAAGAUGUAACGGGGCUCAAGCCACGAGCCGAAGCUUCGGACUCCUUCGGGAGUGGUAGCGGAGCGUUCUGUGAAAAACCCGGUCCGUCUUGCGUCCAUGCUCCGGUAUGGGCGGCGGACGGAAUGGGUUUGACUGUGAAGCCGGGGCGCAAGCCAUCCGGUGGAGUGAUCAGAAGCGAGAAUGCUGACAUGAGUAGCGAUAAACAGGGUGAGAGACCCUGUCGCCGAAAGUCCAAGGUUUCCUGCUUAAAGCUAAUCUGAGCAGGGUGAGCCGGCCCCUAAGGCGAGGCCGAAAGGCGUAGUCGAUGGGAAUCAGGUUAAUAUUCCUGAGCCAGGAGGAUGUGACGGUUCUCGACUGUAGUUCGAUCUUAACGGAUUGAUCGGGCUGCUUAGAGGAUCCUGGAAAUAGCCCUCCAUAUGACCGUACUCCAAACCGACACAGGUGGACUGGUAGAGAAUACCAAGGCGCUUGAGAGAACUGCGUUGAAGGAACUCGGCAAAAUACCUCCGUAAGUUCGCGAGAAGGAGGCCUCGUUCGUGGGCAACCAUGGGCGAGGGGCACAGACCAGGGGGUGGCGACUGUUUACUAAAAACACAGGGCUCUGCGAAGCCGCAAGGCGACGUAUAGGGUCUGACGCCUGCCCGGUGCUGGAAGGUUAAGUGGAGGUGUGCAAGCACUGAAAUGAAGCCCCAGUAAACGGCGGCCGUAACUAUAACGGUCCUAAGGUAGCGAAAUUCCUUGUCGGGUAAGUUCCGACCUGCACGAAUGGCGUAACGACUUCCCCGCUGUCUCCAACGCAGACUCAGCGAAAUUGAAUUCCCCGUGAAGAUGCGGGGUUCCCGCGGUCAGACGGAAAGACCCCGUGCACCUUUACUACAGCUUCACACUGGCAUUAGGCGGAGCAUGUGCAGGAUAGGUGGUAGGCUAUGAAACCCGGGCGCCAGCUCGGCGGAGCCACCCUUGAGAUACCACCCUUGCUUCGCUUGAUGUCUAACCGCGGUCCGUCAUCCGGAUCCGGGACCCUGUGUGGCGGGUAGUUUGACUGGGGCGGUCGCCUCCUAAAGCAUAACGGAGGCGCGCGAUGGUGGGCUCAGAGCGGUCGGAAAUCGCUCGUUGAGUGCAAUGGCAUAAGCCCGCCUGACUGCGAGACUGACAAGUCGAGCAGAGACGAAAGUCGGCCAUAGUGAUCCGGUGGUCCCUCGUGGAAGGGCCAUCGCUCAACGGAUAAAAGGUACGCCGGGGAUAACAGGCUGAUGAUGCCCAAGAGUCCAUAUCGACGGCAUCGUUUGGCACCUCGAUGUCGGCUCAUCACAUCCUGGGGCUGGAGCAGGUCCCAAGGGUUCGGCUGUUCGCCGAUUAAAGUGGUACGUGAGCUGGGUUUAGAACGUCGUGAGACAGUUCGGUCCCUAUCUGCCGUGGGUGUAGGAGACUUGAGAGGAGCUGCCCCUAGUACGAGAGGACCGGGGUGGACGCACCACUGGUGGAUCGGUUGUCGCGCCAGCGGCACAGCCGAGUAGCUAUGUGCGGACAGGAUAACCGCUGAAGGCAUCUAAGCGGGAAGCCCCCCUCAAAACCAGGUCUCCCUGAGGGCCGUGGAAGACCACCACGUCGAUAGGCUGGAGAUGUAAGCGCCGUGAGGCGCUCAGUUGACCAGUACUAAUCGCCCGAUAGGCUUGAUCCG
rnacentral:rRNA from 1 species